GGUUUCAUGGUGUAGUCGGUUAUCACACCUGUUUAACACACAGGAGGUCUCCGGUUCGAUCCCGGAUGAAACCA